GUGACACAGAACUCACAUCACAGGGAGGCUCAUUGAAGAAGUUUGUGGAGGUCUUAAGUGAGAUAACUGACAAUUUCAGAAGGACUCCCUCACCAUGGCAGGGUUGAUUAUUUUCCUGCUGCUCAGUGCAGCCUUUUCUCUGGGAGAUCCACAUUGGCGGCCACACAGGUGCCCUGGGGAAUGGCGCCAGUUUGGUUCCCAUUGUGUCAUUUUCGAUGAGACUCCAAGAUCUUGGGCGGCUGCGGAGUUCCACUGUCAGUCUCUUGGUGGACACCUGGCCUCAGUACACAGCUGGCUGGAGUCUAUAUUUCUGGAGGCGUUGACUAUAGAUUUACCUUUGACCUGGAUUGGAGGAACGGAUGGUGGUCAGCCUCAGAUGACACAGGUGUUACAGAGGUUAUUGCCUCCCAGACAACUGAAUUACGUAAUGAGUUCUCUCACUGUGACCAUGUUGAUUGUUCUGCUUCUCAGUGCUGUCUUUGCUCUGGGUGAUGCGGGCGAUGGGGGUCAAGUCAAACCAGGGCAUUCAUCCCACCGUGACAGGACCGGUGACAGGACCUUUAAAAGAAGCAGAAGGCAGUGAGAAGCUGUGAAGACCCUUGCAGGGAACCAAAGUGAAGUAACCUGUGGUGCUUAAACGGUCCUUAAGAAGGAGAGGAGGUACAGAACUCACAUCACAGGAAGACUCAGUGGAGAUGUUAGAGGCCUUAACGAGUGGUGUGAUAAACUGAGGUGCUCAGAAGUAAGGCUUCAGACAGGAACUGGUCUUCAUCGGUUUUCAGGACAACCUCACCAUGGGGGUGUUAAUGAUGUUCUUGCUUCUCAGUGCUGCUUAUUCUUUGGGAGAUGCAAGUUUUAGGACACCUGAAUGUAAUCAGGGAUGGCAGCAGUUUGGAUCCCGCUGCUUCAGUUUUGAAGGUCUGAGGUCAUGGACUUCAGGGACAGUCUUGCUCCCAGAUCUGACAGGAGCUGGUCCUGGACUGAUGGAUCUGGGUUUAAUUACCACGAAUGGGCACAAGGGGAACCCAAAAACUAUAAUGGUGUCAGAGACGUGUAUUCAGAUGAACUUUGGAGAUAAACAUCGCUGGAACGACGACGUCUGUGAGAAGCGCUUUGCAUCAGUCUGCUCCAGAAGCCAUUAAAUGAACUUGUUGCUGUGACAUCAUCCUGUUGAAUGAUGUGGUUGUCAAUAAAACAGCUGAACACA